UACGUAGGGUGCAAGCGUUAAUCGGAAUUACUGGGACGUAAAGCGUGCGCAGGCGGUGAUGUAAGACAGAUGUGAAAUCCCCGGGCUCAACCUGGGAGCUGACAUUUGUGACUGCAUCGCUGGAGUGCGGCAGAGGGGGAUGGAAUUCCGCGUGUAAGCAGUGAAAUGCGUAGAUAUGCGGAGGAACACCGGAGGCGAAGGCGGCUUGCUGGACCUGGUCUGACGCUGAGGCGCGAAAGCGUGGGGAGCGAACAGG
rnacentral:rRNA from 1 species